rnacentral:sRNA from 1 species
ACAACAAAAUUAUUGCAUUUGUUCGCACAAAAAUAAUAUUUAUAUUAAAAAAGCAGCUGCAAUGCAAUACAACACCUCAUAUAUGAUGCAAAAACUCGUGGACUCGUGAGAAAACAGGAACGUGGAAACCGAGGCCUACAAUUAAGCAGAAAUCAAUCAAUUAAUGCUUGUUACUUGCUCGACUACGGAAUACAACGGAUUUCCGGGGUAAGCGCAGUACGAAUCCGAAAGAGAUGGCAUAUGGCGACGCGUCCUACACCGAUUAGAGGGAAUAAGCGCGAUUCUCAACAAAUCGUAUUGCGAUGAAGGAGGACGGAGAACUGGAGCGUGGUUCAUAAUGUCAAACAUGACGGAAACGACAUCAUGUGGAAGCAUUUCCCCAAAGGAUUCUACCAAAAUCUCAAAGGUUAUAUAUCGAUAUUACAAAAAUAUGAGGGAAUAUCGAAGUUCGACCCGUUUACCCAGAGAACGAUUGGAACUCACUUUCAAAUUUGAUAAUACCAAAUGUCCAAAUUACUUCAAUUUAUUGGAAUUAGA